CAGGUGCCUAAGUCAAGAGUUUCCUUGGACAAGCCUGCACCAUACAGAACCAUCUGCAGUCAAGCAGUAAGACUGACAAACAUCCAGUUUCCCUUCAUCAAAAUAAAUUAACGACCACCGAAUCUUGAAAGAGACAUCUCUACGUGUAAAACCGAUGAUCAUGCGUGAGGCCAGACGUUGCUGUGUCUGUUAGCCAGCUAGUGUAACCUGCCUACAAGCCUGUCCGGAAUCAUAGGUAGGUAUAAAUCUGGUGCACAAAAGCAAAGAGCAAGAAAUCACUUCUGAGUUCCAGUGCAUGCACUGAAAUGCUGUUUAAAUUUUGCUUCAACGUGAGGAGCCAGAUCAGUAUCA